CCUACGGGGGGCAGCAGUGGGGAAUAUUGGGCAAUGGAGGCAACUCUGACGCAGCAACGCCGCGUGAAUGAUGAAGGUCUUCGGAUUGUAAAGUUCUGUGAUGGGGGAGGAACACCAUGACGGUACCCCACUAGCAAGCCACGGCUAACUGCGUGCCAGCCGCCGCGGUAAUACGUAGGUGGCAAGCGUUAUCCGGGAUGACUGGGCGUAAAGGGUGCGUAGGUGGUUUAGUAAGUUCGAGGUGUAAUUCGGGGGCUCAACCUGGGCGCUACCGCCGAAACUAUUAGACUAGAGUGCAGGAGGGGUAAGUGGAAUUCCGGGUGUAGCGGUGGAAUGCGUAGAUAUCAGGAGGAAUACCAGGGGCGAAGGCGACCUACUGGACUGUAACUGACGCUGAGGCGCGAAAGCGUGGGGAGCAAACAGGAUUAGAUACCCGUGUAGUC
rnacentral:rRNA from 1 species